rnacentral:rRNA from 1 species
GCCUACGGGACGCAGCAGUGGGGAAUAUUGCGCAAUGGGCGAAAGAAAAAAAAAGAGAAGAAGCGUGAGGGAUGAAGGUUCUCGGAUCGUAAACCUCUGUCAGAAGGGAAGAAAUUAUAUCAUGCUAAUCAGUGGUGUAUUGACGGUACCUUCAAAGGAAGCACCGGCUAACUCCGUGCCAGCAGCCGCGGUAAUACGGAGGGUGCGAGCGUUAAUCGGAAUUACUGGGCGUAAAGCGCACGUAGGCUGUAUGACAAGUCAAGGGUGAAAUGCCACGGCUCAACCGUGGAACUGCCUUUGAAACU